CUUAUCAAGAGUGACGGAGGGAACAGGCCCUGUGAAGUCCAGCAACCUGCAUCAUGCAAGGUGCCAAAUCCUGCGGGAAACCGAAAGAUAAG
rnacentral:ncRNA from 1 species